rnacentral:rRNA from 1 species
GCUGGCGGCAGGCCUAACACAUGCAAGUCGAGCGGUAGCACAGAGAGCUUGCUCUCGGGUGACGAGCGGCGGACGGGUGAGUAAUGUCUGGGAAACUGCCUGAUGGAGGGGGAUAACUACUGGAAACGGUAGCUAAUACCGCAUAAUGUCGCAAGACCAAAGUGGGGGACCUUCGGGCCUCAUGCCAUCAGAUGUGCCCAGAUGGGAUUAGCUAGUAGGUGGGGUAACGGCUCACCUAGGCGACGAUCCCUAGCUGGUCUGAGAGGAUGACCAGCCACACUGGAACUGAGACACGGUCCAGACUCCUACGGGAGGCAGCAGUGGGGAAUAUUGCACAAUGGGCGCAAGCCUGAUGCAGCCAUGCCGCGUGUGUGAAGAAGGCCUUCGGGUUGUAAAGCACUUUCAGCGGGGAGGAAGGCGGUGAGGUUAAUAACCUCAUCGAUUGACGUUACCCGCAGAAGAAGCACCGGCUAACUCCGUGCCAGCAGCCGCGGUAAUACGGAGGGUGCAAGCGUUAAUCGGAAUUACUGGGCGUAAAGCGCACGCAGGCGGUCUGUCAAGUCGGAUGUGAAAUCCCCGGGCUCAACCUGGGAACUGCAUUCGAAACUGGCAGGCUAGAGUCUUGUAGAGGGGGGUAGAAUUCCAGGUGUAGCGGUGAAAUGCGUAGAGAUCUGGAGGAAUACCGGUGGCGAAGGCGGCCCCCUGGACAAAGACUGACGCUCAGGUGCGAAAGCGUGGGGAGCAAACAGGAUUAGAUACCCUGGUAGUCCACGCCGUAAACGAUGUCGAUUUGGAGGUUGUGCCCUUGAGGCGUGGCUUCCGGAGCUAACGCGUUAAAUCGACCGCCUGGGGAGUACGGCCGCAAGGUUAAAACUCAAAUGAAUUGACGGGGGCCCGCACAAGCGGUGGAGCAUGUGGUUUAAUUCGAUGCAACGC